GACGAACGCUGGCGGCGUGCUUAACACAUGCAAGUCGAACGGAAAGGCCCUGCUUUUGUGGGGUGCUCGAGUGGCGAACGGGCGAGUAACACGUGAGUAACCUGCCCUUGACUUUGGGAUAACUUCAGGAAACUGGGGCUAAUACCGGAUAGGAGCUCCUGCUGCAUGGUGGGGGUUGGAAAGUUUCGGCGGUUGGGGAUGGACUCGCGGCUUAUCAGCUUGUUGGUGGGGUAGUGGCUUACCAAGGCUUUGACGGGUAGCCGGCCUGAGAGGGUGACCGGCCACAUUGGGACUGAGAUACGGCCCAGAAUCCUACGGGAGGCAGCAGUGGGGAAUAUUGCACAAUGGGCGGAAGCCUGAUGCAGAAACGCCGCGUGCGGGAUGACGGCCUUCGGGUUGUAAACCGAUUUCGCCUGUGACGAAGCGUGAGUGACGGUAAUGGGUAAAGAAGCACCGGCUAACUACGUG
rnacentral:rRNA from 1 species